AGAUCAGACCCUGUGUUAUCCCGUGUGCUUCCAGACUCUGACCCAUAUCUGCAUUUUAUUGAAAUGAAUUUGGCUACUAAAGACUAUCAACGCUGAAGGAAGCAAUGAGAUCCAGAAACAAACCUAUGGGAAUUGAUUUAACUUCAUAGAUGUUAUGUUAAGACUUCAGACUUUGUUUGGAAUCAGAACUGCAUAGAAUAGUUUUGGAGUCUGUGUCCUGUGCCCAGGGGCUGGUGGCCCAGCGUCUGUUGUUGAUGCUUAGUGUCUUCAAUGAUUCUCCCCUGCUCCACGCCACAGGGAUGGACUCUUGCUUCUUAGCACAUAGACCUCACGUCUGAGCCGGGAGGCAUGGAAGAAUGAACCCUGC
ensembl:lincRNA Gm42952 predicted gene 42952